GACGAACCGAGCGAACGUUGUUCGGAAUCACUGGGCUUAAAGGGUGCGUAGGCGGGCUAUUAAGUCAGUGGUGAAAGCCCCAAGCUUAACUUGGGAACUGCCAUUGAUACUGAUGGUCUUGAGUACAUUUGAGGUGGGCGGAAUGUGUCAUGUAGCGGUGAAAUGCUUAGAUAUGACACAGAACACCGAUUGCGAAGGCAGCUCACUAAACUGUAACUGACGCUGAGGCACGAAAGCGUGGGGAGCAAACAGG
rnacentral:rRNA from 1 species